CUACUGGCAGAGAACUGUGAUAGCCCCCGCAGAAACGGUUCAUUAACGAAAAUGAGUGCAUGCAAAAAAAAAAUAUCCAGCUAGCAACAAAUCAAAAUACAGCAAGAUGAGGCAUCAUGGAGCAGCAUUUCUGGUAUUUGAUCAUCCAAUCAUCGAGACCAUAAAUCCAAGAAGUCAUACCCCAUGACCCUGAGGUGGGACUUCAUCCAGUUUGUCUUUCCCACAUCACCACAUACGUUCAUUGAGCUAUUCCAAGUCAGAGCCUUGUCUUCUCCAGAUUUGACUACUUCAACUCACACCAUGCUGGACUUCCUGAAAUCUCAGAUUAUCCUCCACUGAUUUGCACCUUGCUCUCUUUAUGUUCAGGAUUCCAAUUCUAACCUACAAUGCCAGAAAAUGACUAGCUCCGUAAAAUCUCUCGACCUGCAUGAAGUUAUGUACUGUUGUUUUUUCUCUGUGAUCUACGAUGUUGGCAUUCUUUAAGUUGCCUUCUCUUUAGGGAUUCACUGGACAAUCUCCCGGACAUCACUGUGUGCUGUUGCCCAACUGCUUGAAUGAGUUUCAUUCAUUAUAAAUCCAAAGUCCCUUGUUUGUAAAUGCAGAUUUAAGAACCACCUAUGCAUGUAUAUUUUUUUGUGGAAUACUGGUGGUCAACAUGAGCCACAAAAAUUAUUAUGAAGUGUGCCAGACUUUGCAGACCCAAGAUUGGGGGCAGGAAAAGGGCCUCCUGAAAUUAACACCCCCCCCCCAACUUUGUGAUUAAAGUCAAAUACUUUUUGAGGCACCACUGAGUUUGGCAGGCAAGAAUAUGGUCUUAUCCUAAUUAGUUACAACAGGACCACAUUAUAAAUAUAAUUUAUAAAAUGAUAUAAACAUUUCAGAGCAAUGAUGGCUGAAUUAUUAUCAUUACACUUUACAAAACACUAGUCGAAUAAGAAAUAUGAGAUAUGACCGAUUUUGCGAAUGAUUUGUUUAUAGUUAUACACUUGAAACAAAUUGCCUACCACAAACUACACACAGUGCCUUCCCAAGCGAUCACCCUGCCUUAAAAAAUCUAAUGAAACGCAUCUUAACGCAGUCAUCGAAUACUGCUUUGAUGUAGACAAUUAAAUGAAAGCUUUUUGAUACGAAGAUUAGUGAAAUAUGUAGGCUAAACUGUCCUCUCAACAAGCAAACAAGUCGCAGCAAUGAGAACCGAGAGAGUGCGCGUUUUGGGGACCCCGAACUCGGCGGUCGGCAGACCGAAGACAGUUUUACCGAUAUUUAAGCGAAGUCGAAUUUGUGAAUCUGUAACUAUCUUUACCGCAGUGUUGCAGGCAUCAAAUUCAAAGCGGUGUAGAUGUAGUGAUUGUAUGAGUUAGUGAAC